CACGUAGUUAGCCGGGGCUUACUCUAAGGGUACCAUCAAUCCCGACAGAGUCGGGCAUUUUUCCCCUUCUACAGAAGUUUACAAGCAAAAGCCCGUCAUCCUUCACACGGCGUUGCUGCUUCAGGAUUUCUCCCAUUGAGCAAUAUUCCUUACUGCUGCCUCCCGUAGGAGUCUGGACCGUAUCUCAGUUCCAGUGUGGCUGAUCAUCCUCUCAGACCAGCUACCCAUCGCAGACUUGGUGGGCUGUUACUCCGCCAACUAUCUAAUGGGACGCAGGCUCAUCUUUAGGCCCCGAAGGUUUAACAACAUCUUGAUGCCAAGCCGCUGCAUUAUCUGAUAUUAUCCCCGAUUUCUCGGGGUUAUGUCAGUCCUAAAGGCAGAUUACCUACGCGUUACUCACCCGUGCGCCACUCUCCUACCAGUAUUGCUACCGAUAUUCAAGUUGACUUGCAUGUAUUAGGCACGCCGCAGCGUUCUCU
rnacentral:rRNA from 1 species